rnacentral:rRNA from 1 species
CAUGGAAUACCAAUUGCGAAGGCAGGUUACUACCAAUUUAUUGACGCUGAUGGACGAAAGCGUGGGUAGCGAACAGGAUUAGAUACCCUGGUAGUCCACGCCGUAAACGAUGGAUACUAGCUGUUGGGAGCAAUCUCAGUGGCUAAGCGAAAGUGAUAAGUAUCCCACCUGGGGAGUACGAACGCAAGUUUGAAACUCAAAGGAAUUGACGGGGGCCCGCACAAGCGGUGGAGCAUGUGGUUUAAUUCGAUGAUACGCGAGGAACCUUACCAAGGCUUAAAUGCAGACUGACCGAUUUGGAAACAGAUCUUUCGCAAGACAGUUUACAAGGUGCUGCAUGGUUGUCGUCAGCUCGUGCCGUGAGGUGUCAGGUUAAGUCCUAUAACGAGCGCAACCCCUGUUGUUAGUUGCCAGCGAGUCAAGUCGGG